GACGAACGCUGGCGGCGUGCUUAACACAUGCAAGUCGAACGGAAAGGCCCUGCUUUUGUGGGGUGCUCGAGUGGCGAACGGGUGAGUAACACGUGAGUAACCUGCCCUUGUCUUUGGGAUAACUUCAGGUAACUGGGGCUAAUACCCGAUAGGAGCUCCUGCUGCAUGGUGGGGGUUGGUAAGUUUCGGAGGUUGGGGAUGGACUCGCGGCUUAUCAGCUUGUUUGUGGGGUAGUGGCUUACCAAGGCUUUGACGGGUAGCCGGCCUGAGAGGGUGAACGGCGACAAUGGGACUGAGAGACGGCGCAGAGUCCAACGGGAGGCAGCAGGGGGGAAUAUUGCAGAAUGGGAGGAAGCCUGAUGAAGAAAGGCCGCGAGCGGGAUGACGGCCUACGGGGUGAAAACCGAUGUCGCCUGUGAAGAAGAGUGAGUGACGGUAAUGGGUAAAGAAGCACCGGCUAACUACGUG
rnacentral:rRNA from 1 species